UGCAAUGAUUUCAUACUCAAUUCUCAUACUUCAACAUUUAGUUUCCUGAGGUCUCACGCACCUGGUCCCAACUACCUGCUAGUUAAACUACACUACCUAACACUAACUGCUCCCACCUGGGAGCCAAAAACUGUCUUUCAGUGAUGCCUUUGGGUCACAUGUGAGACUGAAAUCCCUGGUUGCUCCAUUUUCCUGCUUUUAAUCUCGAAGGUUUACUUUGCCUCUUUUCAUCACUGGUUUCUAGGGACUGAUUUAAAAUGGUAUGAAAAGGGCAGAUUUUCCUAAGAGGGAGGUUUUCUUGAAGCCUAGGUAUCUGUGGCCAUUCUUGUCAAAGAAAUGGCUGUAUGGUUGCAGAAGAAUAUGUAGUAGGAGGUCCAGCAAAACAUGGGUGUGAUACCCUCUGAUUCAUAUCCCUGAUGACCAUCUCCUGCCUGAAGCACAAAGACCCUGCCAGGAGGGAAAAUGACCACAGACCUAGCAGUGUGAUAAUUUAACUUGUUCUCAACACUGUGACUUCUGUGAUGAAUGACUCUCUCAUCCUGCUGUAUCCACUUGAAUAAUGAUGGUGAACUUGAGACACCUCAGUGCACAAUACUGUCAAGUCAAGAAGUAUAAGUCCACGGAAGAGCUAUUGAAAUAAAUACAGUAGGGACUGUGAUUUAAGAGGACCCUUACUUUUAUGACAGGCAAGGAGCAACUGAAAAGAGAUCUGCUGAUGGCCAUCUACUUGUGGCAGCUGUUUAUUAUGAUCUGUCAUAAACAUCUUGCUGUUACCUUGUGCUCACCCAUCUGUUUGUUUCUGCCCAUCUGUUACUGGUUGCCAUGUGCUUAAGUUGUAAAUAUCACUAUUGUUUGAAAUAAAAAGGUUAAAAAUCCUUUGAUUUAAAAAAAAAAAUCAGUUAUUGAAUUCAGUAUUUGCAUUUAGAAAAAAAAAAGCUCUUACAAGCCUCUGGAGUCAACAUUGAGGAAACUCUCAGGUACAGGUUUUCUAUGCUCCUGGAUAACUUCCUGUGGUUACCCUUUCUGAUGAGGUUGAAGCAUUUAAUUAAGUUGAUUUUUGUUGUAAGAUUUCAAUUUGCUUUUAGUCAAUAACAAGGGCUAGUUCAGGAGGAAAUUUUGUUUUUUGAAGUCAGAGGAUUGUGUGCAAAUGAAAGAGGCAAAUUGCCUGCAGGAAGCCAAUCAACUUGUGCUCUGUAUAUGUCACUUCAGCUUCUGCUGGAGUUUUUUAUUCCCAGACUAGCAAAUUUAUAUUUGGCAUGCACUGUCAUCCUUAUUCUAUAGGUUUCUUCUCAUCAAAUAUUUGUGAUGGCUUUUUUUUUUUUUUUUUUUGUCUCCCUAAACUAUAAUAUGUGCUUUUGGCAUUUGAGUCUUUGCCAUUGUUACUUAAUAUGACAACAGCCACAUUUAAUUUCUUUUGGAAUGUUUUAAGAAAUGUUUUUUCUAUGUAUUUUUUUUUUUAAUAAAAUCUGUAUUUAGUAACUACUUCUCUCUCAAAACAUAACUAUCAUGCUAGCUACUUCAGCAUUAUUCACCAUUUUAUGCCAGUCUAUUGCAAUGGUCAAUUCGGAGACAUGCAGUGCUUUUGGGGUUUAUAUUUUUUUUCUUUUUUGAAAGAAGGGUCAUCCACAAUGUUCUUCAACCUAAGGGAUCUAAAAAUCAUUGGCUUUCUUUACUUAUUUUAACACGUAUUUUCAUAUUGCUGUUAAUUUUCCUUUUGUAUUUCUCUUUUGGUUUUGUUUUUCUUUUUUUAAUAGUGAAAUAAUAUUGCUACACAGGAACAACUAAAGAAAUACUGACACAUACAUGCCAAUAAUGACCAGCUCUGAACUACAAUAUUGGUAUAGGGUUUUUUUUUUUCCUUUUGUAGUGUUAGACUAACGCUAUAUCAAUGUGUACCCUCCUCUAAGGAUGGUUAGGUUGCACUUCGGUUGACAUCAAGUGGGCCUGGGGCAUAGACCUGUGAUGCUGAGACCCUACCUGAAGUUCUAAAAAUGCAUGUGGAAUUUCAUCCUUGGACUGAAUAGAAUUUAAUUUCAUACAUAUUUGGUUUUGCACUGCUUUUUUGCCAUUUUGACAAAGAUUUUUAGGAUUUGUCUUGUAGCUUUGUGUAGAAAUACAGGAAGAAAAUAUUUAAUAUUAUCAAUUAAUUUGUCCUGACUGUGCUAUACUAUGCUCUGUACAUUCAGAGAAAUGUUUCCAUUUUGCUUUUAAACUUGACUGCAGCUGUUGACAAUCUUUUACAAAAACUGCGCAUUUCCUCUCUAAACCGCCUUCAUUCUUGCCAAGCACUUCAAAACAAAGUAAUUUUGUAUUUUAUGUUAUUCUAGGAGCCCAUGAAUUUCACUUGCUAAAACAAUUUGAAAAUCCAGUUUACAAAGAGCUUUUACUUUUUCCUUACCGUUUUUCCCCCUCAUGUCUGAAAACAACUUCGAUUAUAUAUGCAUGUCUUUUAUUCCUCCUCCAUUGUACUCAAAUAGUGUUUUUUCUAAGUACCUCAUUCCAAAGUCAGAAUUUCUAGGAACUGAUGCAGACCCUUCUGACAUUAAGAGGAUCUUUUUUCAGUGGGUUUUAGUUCAUCUCUAUGGAUUAUGAAUUAUUAGGGAUGGACCUAGCUUCUAGAUAUAAAAAGUAUUUUUAUACCUCAGUGCAAAGAGACUGGCUCUGACUGAGGACCUUAAUGUGUCCUGUCAAUUAAAAAAAAAGAUAAAAAAGGUAUAUUUACCCAUUAUAAAAGUUGAUAUUGUCCAACUGUCCUUCAUAUUGUUUUGCUAUAUUUUUCAAAAGUACUAUGGUGGUUUUAUUACAGUGUUCUAUUCUAACUUUGCUGUCCCCUUUUCUCUGAUCUGCUCUCUUGAUUUAGGGAAAAAAAAACACUUUAGUCUUGGUUAGUCUUUCCUGCCAACCAGAGAAAUAUUGGGAGCUAGAUUUAGAUCCAAUGCUAUCAAAAUACUCCACUGAUUGUUAAAACAAUAUCUUGGUGAAACUAGAUAUGAAGUCUUCCUUAGGAACAUGAACUCUUCCUUAGGUAGCAAUCACUGUUAUUGCUGUGUUUAAAUGUAAAGGCUUAGGAAACAGUGCCAGAACUGGUACAGCUUUAUUUGAGGGUUUUUUUGGAUAGAGGAAAAGCAACACAUGGUCCUGGUGGUUCAUGCUCAUGGCUUUAGAAAACCAGUAUUUCAGUUGUUCAGGCUUCAGUUAUUUUCAGUUCCUUAUUUUGAAGUAACACUGAUAAUGAAAAUUCUAUAAAGCAGUUGGAGAUGUCAAAAGAUGAAAAAGGUCAAGGACUCCAGCUCAUAACCAUUUGCAUUGGCCUCUUCAGUCCUCUUCUGAGAGAUACAAUUACAGUUUCAAUAUCUCUUAACCUCUAACAGCUAUUUAAGGAGCUUUCCUUUCAGAGACCAGAGGAGUUCAGAAAUUUGUAAGCCACACUGGCAUCUCCAAUAGCUCAAUACUAGAAUUUGAUGGGGUUGGUUGGCGGGGAGGUAUUGGGUUGGGAGUUUUUGUUGGUUGGUUGGUUUGUUUGUAGGUUUUUGUGGGAGGUUUUCCAGGUUUGGGGGGUGUUUUUUGGGGGGUUUCUUUGGUUAAACUUCAUUGUGUCUUUUCAGAAAAAAACUGUGCCAAGGAAUUAGUUCCUGCUUAAGAGGAGUAGCUGUAGGAAGUAGUGCAAACAUGCAAUACUGGAAUUUGUCCAUAUCCUUCUCAGACGAAUCCCUGUGUUGGAGUAACCUGGGGGCUUCUGUGAGAUAUUUCAUUUUGAUUCUUUCCAUUAUCUGUGUAGCUUCACUGGAAGCAUAAGACAGCAUGCUUGUGCUUCAGAUAGCAGGCACAGAAACUGUGUCAUCUAACUGCAACUUCGAUAAUGCUUUGAUGUAUUGUGUCUAUAAUGCAUUUAUCUCUGCUCACUGAAUAAUAUAGACAAUAGUUUGAAUAUGUGCAUUUGUGUUUAUUGUAAUUUUUUAAAGGAAUUCACCAAGAUGUUUUGUAGUCAGUGCUGCCAUUAAAAUUAGAUCAGUUGAUGAUUUUCUUCUGUUAAGCUUUUC